rnacentral:rRNA from 1 species
AACGCGAAGAACCUUACCUGGCUUGACAUGCACGGAACUUUCCAGAGAUGGAUUGGUGCCUUCGGGAACCGUGACACAGGUGCUGUAUGGCUGUCGUCAGCUCGUGUCGUGAGAUAUUGGGUUAAGUCCCGCAACGAGCGCAACCCUUGUCCUUAGUUGCCAGCACGUAAUGGUGGGAGCUCUAAGGAGACCGCCGGUGACAAACCGGAGGAAGGUGGGGAUGACGUCAAGUCAUCAUGGCCCUUACGGCCAGGGCUACACACGUACUACAAUGGUCGGUACAGAAGGCAGCGAACCCGAAAGGUCAAGCAAAUCCUACAAAGCCGGCCCCAGUUCGGAUUGUAGUCUGCAACUCGACUACAUGAAGUUGGAAUUGCUAGUAAUGGCGUGUCAGCAAUAACGCCGUGAAUACGUUCCCGGGUCUUGUACACACGC